rnacentral:lncRNA from 11 species
ACUAUGAUUCUUAAAGAUCAUAGUUUCUAACUACUUCAUCUCUACUCUGACAGGUAAAGACGGAAGAGAUGCUUGCAAGAUAAAGAGGAAUAUGAGAUCAGAUUUGCCCUUCCAAGACUGGAGUUUUGUCUUUGACCUUGAGGAGAGUAGAUCCAAUUUGUCCUGUAGCUUCUGGGAGACCAUUGGAGGGGAGAGCAUAGGACAGAAUGGAGAAAAUGAGGGUCAAGUACACCGACUGGCAAAUAUGAGAACGGAUACAGAUUCACAAAACCACUUUUGAAAAAAGUAAUCACAUGAAGGUAAUGAUGCUUGUUCCUUUUAUCUCCCCAAUUAAUCCCUGAACUUCCUGUUAUAGAUAACUAGUGCUGGGCAUCAUUACCAUGUGACAAUAAAUGUGAGUUUUUCUUAUUUCAAG